AUGGUUGUGGAUUAUCGACCUGUCAAUUUGGUCACAAUCAAGAACAAAUAUCCGCUCCCUAGGAUCAACGACCUGUACGAUCAGCUCGCUGGAUCCUCAGUCUUCUCCAAGAUGGAUUUGAGGUUGUGCUACCAUCAAAUCAAAAUCAGAAACGGGGACAUUCCUAAAACGGCCUUUGUUACUCGUUAUGGCCAAUACGAGUACACCGUCAUGUCCUUCGGUUUAACCAACGCUCCAGCCACCUUUUCUCGGUUAAUGAACUCAAUCUUCAUGGAGUAUUUGGAUAAAUUCGUCGUAGUUUAUCUCGAUGAUAUACUCAUCUACUCCAAGAACGAGGAAGAACAUGCCGAACAUCUAAGNNNNNNNNNNNNNNNNNNNNNNNNNNNNNNNNNNNGAGUGGCUGAUGUCAUUCUGAACAUCAAGUUGUUGAGAGAUGAUGAUGGUGGGAUUACAUUGCUUCAAUCUCACUAUGUGGAAAAGAUCUUGAGUCGCUUUGGCUAUAGUGACUGCAAGCCCUCUCCAACACCAUAUUAUGCUAGCGUGCUGCUUCGAAAGAAUCGAAGAAUUGCUAGAGAUCAAUUGAAGUAUUCUCAGAUUAUUGGCUCGCUUAUGUACUUAGCUAGUGCUACAAGACCUGACAUCUCUUUUGCUGUUAGCAAGCUGAGCCGGUUUGUCUCAAAACCGGGAGAUGUGCAUUGGAAAGCUCUAGAGAGAGUUUUGCGUUAUUUGAAAGGCACUGUAAACUAUGGAAUUCACUACACUGGGCACCCAAAGGUGCUUGAAGGGUAUAGUGACUCAAACUGGAUCUCAGAUGCUGAUGAGAUAAAGGCCACGAGCGGAUAUGUGUUCACUCAUGGAGGUGGCGCUGUUUCUUGGAAGUCUUGCAAGCAGACCAUCUUAACGAGGUCAACUAUGGAAGCAGAACUCACAGCACUAGAUACAGCUACGAUCGAAGCAGAUUGGCUUCGCCAACUCUUGAAUGACUUGCCGGAUGUUGAAACCUGUACCGGGUAUCCUUAUGAACUGUGA
rnacentral:rRNA from 1 species